rnacentral:rRNA from 1 species
CCCAGACUCCUACGGGAGGCAGCAGUGAGGAAUAUUGGUCAAUGGCCGCAGGGCUGAACCAGCCAAGUCGCGUGAGGGAUGACGGUCCUAUGGAUUGUAAACCUCUUUUGUCAGGGAGCAAAGGGCGCCACGUGUGGCGUUUUGCGAGUACCUGAAGAAAAAGCAUCGGCUAACUCCGUGCCAGCAGCCGCGGUAAUACGGAGGAUCCGAGCGUUAUCCGGAUUUAUUGGGUUUAAAGGGAGCGUAGACGGCGAGACAAGUCUGGAGUGAAAGGCCGGGGCCCAACCCCGGGACUGCUCUGGAAACUGCCUGGCUGGAGUACAGGAGAGGCAGGCGGAAUUCCUAGUGUAGCGGUGAAAUGCGUAGAUAUUAGGAGGAACACCAGUGGCGAAGGCGGCCUGCUGGACGGUGACUGACGCUGAGGCUCGAAAGCGUGGGGAGCAAACAGGAUUAGAUACCCCCGUAUAC